CCUCAAGUUCAUCAAUUUGUAACUUCCUAUGUUGUCCAGCCUCAUCUAGAUCCAUGUUUAGCUUUUUGAUGGCCCACAUAGCUCUAUGUUCAAGCUCUACUGGCAAGUGACAUGCUUUACCAAACACAAGCCUGUAAGGAGACAUUCCUAAGUUGGUUUUGAAGGCAGUGCGAUAUGCCCAAAGAGCAUCUACUAGCUUCAAUGACCAAUCUUUUCUAUUGGUGCU
rnacentral:lncRNA from 1 species